UACGGGGGGGGUAAGCGUUGUUCGGAAUUACUGGGCGUAAAGGGCUCGUAGGCGGCCAACUAAGUCAGACGUGAAAUCCCUCAGCUUAACUGGGGAACUGCGUCUGGGACUGGAGAGCUUGAGUGCGGGAGAGGAAUGCGGAAUUCCAGGUGUAGCGGUGAAAUGCGUAGAUAUCUGGAGGAACACCGGUGGCGAAGGCGGCAUUCUGGACUGCAACUGACACUGAGGAACGAAAGCCAGGGGAGCAAACGGG
rnacentral:rRNA from 1 species